GUCUGACUGUCGCAUCAAAUUCCAUUAUAUUGACAACGGUGUGUGAACCAUAUAAAUAGAUAUAAAAGGUGAAAAUAUCAAAAAUACAGCAUUCAGCAUUGUGUUAUAAUCUUAAUCACUAAAAAAAUAGAAGUUCAACUGGUGAUACCUUGUGUAUUGCUAUUGAAAUAUUAAGAUGAUAGAUGACGACAUCGAUGCUAUAUCUUCAGCAGUUAACAUUGUGUUAUAAUUGCAAUCACUUUAAAACAGACAAAUAUGCAACAAAGAAGAAAAAAAGUCACAUAGACAAAGCACAUUAGCAAAAAAUAAAAGACAAGAAUAUAAAAAUGUAUCAUAGCACAAUAAAAUGAUGACGGGAUGUAUAAGUACAGACCCACGUCAUAUAUUUCAAAGAAACACAAAAAGGUAUAUAGACAAAGAACAUUAGCAAAAAUGAAAGACAAGAGUACAAAAUGAAUUACAAUAGCACAAUAACACAAUGACGGGAUGCAUAAGUACAGAAACUUUAAAAAUUUGGGUGUAGAUAUUGAUGACUUGUUUUAAAUGUUUUAAUAUUGACAUCAUGAGAUAUGUUAAAAAGACAGAACAAUAGGUGAACAUUUAAAAGCGUAUGGAUAUUACGAAAUAAGGCAACC
rnacentral:lncRNA from 1 species